rfam:Blautia sp. An249 An249_contig_1, whole genome shotgun sequence.
UAAUAGGAACAGGGGGGCUGGCGAAGGCCGGCUGAGAUUAAACCCGUAAUUCGGUUUUGACCCUUUAAACCUGAUCUGGGUAAUGCCAGCGUAGGGAUGAACACAGGAUUUUUAU